GAUGAACGCUGGCGGCGUGCCUAAUACAUGCAAGUCGAGCGAAUGGAUUAAGAGCUUGCUCUUAUGAAGUUAGCGGCGGACGGGUGAGUAACACGUGGGUAACCUGCCCAUAAGACUGGGAUAACUCCGGGAAACCGGGGCUAAUACCGGAUAACAUUUUGAACCGCAUGGUUCGAAAUUGAAAGGCGGCUUCGGCUGUCACUUAUGGAUGGACCCGCGUCGCAUUAACUAGUUGGUGAGGUAACGGCUCACCAAGGCAACGAUGCGUAGCGGACCUGAGAGGGUUAUCGGCCACACUGGGACUGAGACACGGCCCAGACUCCUACGGGAGGCAGCAGUAGGGAAUCUUCCGCAAUGGACGAAAGUCUGACGGAGCAACGCCGCGUGAGUGAUGAAGGCUUUCGGGUCGUAAAACUCUGUUGUUAGGGAAGAACAAGUGCUAGUUGAAUAAGCUGGCACCUUGACGGUACCUAACCAGAAAGCCACGGCUAACUACGUGCCAGCCGCCGCGGUAA
rnacentral:rRNA from 1 species